rnacentral:rRNA from 1 species
GACGAACGCUGGCGGCGCGCUUAACACAUGCAAGUCGAACGGAAAGGCCCUGCUUGCCGGGUGCUCGAGUGGCGAACGGGUGAGUAACACGUGGGUGAUCUGCCCCUUACUUUGGGAUAAGCCUGGGAAACUGGGUCUAAUACUGGAUAGGACCAUGCUGUAGGUGGUGUGGUGGAAAGAUUAGUUUCGGUAAGGGAUGAGCUCGCGGCCUAUCAGCUUGUUGGUGGGGUAAUGGCCUACCAAGGCGUCGACGGGUAGCCGGCCUGAGAGGGUGGACGGCCACAUUGGGACUGAGAUACGGCCCAGACUCCUACGGGAGGCAGCAGUGGGGAAUAUUGCACAAUGGGCGCAAGCCUGAUGCAGCGACGCCGCGUGGGGGAUGACGGCCUUCGGGUUGUAAACUCCUUUCAGCCAUGACGAAGCCCUUGUGGUGACGGUAGUGGUAGAAGAAGCACCGCCUAACUACGUG